AGCCAAACCCGCAGCGGGUCCCACCCACAACCGGACAGGGCCUGGAAACACUGGCUGAUAGAAAAUAAAGGGCACAGUUCUAAAGGGGGCAGAGAAGCAGAGGGACCUGGAGGUUUUCUUUUCAUGCAGAUCAGGCCCAGCUCGCAGCUGUUGUUUUGCCUUGUGACAACCCUCGGCAAGACCCCGGGGGAGUGAGGGGAGGUCCGGUUAGGGACCACUUUACAAGUUCAGAAAGAUAGAAUAAUUUACAUAGACUCUCAGGAUGCGAGUUCUUACUGCACUCAGUAACCUUUCAGCUAAAAGCCAGGACAAUGAAUAACUGUGCACAUGGGGUGGUCAACUAUGGCCUGGGAUCAGGAGAUGGAGUUUGAUUGAGGGACGGUAUAUAACCUGACUGAUGGCAGAUGGGAGACACUGUCAGAACGAUGUAUAAACAGCAAGACAGGCAGUGCCUGUGGGAAGAAUUUGAUAAGGACUCAUGGUCGUCAACUCCUUGUUUUGAGGUGAAGGCUUUGGAAUGCUGGAAUGGGGCCAGAAAUUGGACUUAAAGGGGCACAGGUCCAACAUUGAGGCUGCAGCCAGAUAAUAGCCAUUGACGGAGUGAGUGUUCACCCCCCCAUGUAAGGUUAUUUGGAGGCUCGGUGAUGUAUGAAGCUAGGGGAAUUGUACCUUUUUCAGAACUGUCUUGAACAGACUAAUUUGGGGUUACCAUUUGUGCUGCAAUAAAGUUGACUUUGUUCUGUUGUUUAAA